rnacentral:lncRNA from 1 species
UUAUCCAUUUUCAUUUCUUCUAGCCAUGUUCGUCUCAUUUCUUCCCCAAAUCUGGCAGGGAUAGGCCACCGCUGCCGCGAUUGCAGCCGGAGGCGAAGGGCGGGAGCGCGGGAUCCGCAUCUCGUCGCCGGCGCAGGUACAGUACACCCGCCUUUUUUGCCUCGCAUCUUCUGCUUCUCCAUUUUUCCCCUGCCGUGGUCGGGAUCUUCCGUAAUUGGCUCGCCGAAGAGGGGUUCUAGGAUUUCCAGUGGAUGUCCAGUGAGUACGAGGUAGCUCGUGAAAGGCAUCGCCCGUGACUACCUGGUCAACUCCGGUGAUUUGGGGAGUUCCUGUUUCGUCAGGGGGAGUCGAGGGUGCGUGUUCUAGGGGAUACGGGUUUCAUGGCGAUUCACCUCCAUAUCAUGCAGAUUCAGCGAGGUAUUCCGUCAUGUUGCCUCCGGCCAAACCGUCUGAUCUGGCAUGGCGAUUUUUUGAUUUUUUUUAGCGGCGAUUUGAGUUGGAAUAGAAGGAAGGGAGUACAUAAGAGUACUGAGAGGAUAGUUCUGAUGUUUUUGCUCAACCCUCUCAAAAUACAUCCGUGUGGUUUCUCUGUUUUCUCAUAAGUGCAUGCAUAUAUGUAACCAGUUGGCUAGUUUGUUCUCGUAGUUGCACAGAAACACAAAUGUAGUUGGAUCACACAUAUACAUAUCUCAGUUGGCUAGCCAACUUAUGGAGUUGCACAGUGAUGGCUAACCAAUUGCCUCAGAUGGAUACACUGUGUAAACCAUAUUCAAACAGUAUGUGUGUUUUUUGAUUGCACACUUAUGGGUGCUCUGUUGUUAAGGGUGUGCGUUCAUAUACGAGUUUGCAAAAUCAAAGCAGUACAUAUCCUAGUUGGCUUAGUCACACUUAUGCAGUUGUACAUGAAAGGGCUAUGUAGUUGCAUGGCUGGAGGCUAGUUUAGUUAUGGCUCAGAUGCCUAAAUCAUGAUUAGUUAGUGUGUAUGCAGAUUUUUUGGUUGCACACUCAUGUCUGCCCUGUUGGCCAUACAGUGCUUCAAGUUGCACACAUUUUGUUUUGUUUUGUAGGUGUGCUUUGAAAAAUCAACAUUACGUGUUUAAAUUAUGGCAUUACUUUGAUAUCAAUUUUCUCCUCAUUUUUCUCUUUUAUACAUAUGGUUCCUUUGACUAAUUUGUUCGUUUGCUUUUUUUAACAGACCAAAAAUGGUUGUAGAAGGAGAUGCGGCUCCUAGUGAAGGAGAGGUUGAUAACCCACAAGUAUAGGGGAUCGCAACAAUUUUCGAGGGUAGAGUAUUCAACCCAAAUUUAUUGAUUCGACACAAGGGGAGCCAAAGAAUAUUCUCCAGUAUUAGCAGCUGAGUUGUCAAUUCAACCACACCUGGAAACUUAAUAUCUGCAGCAAAGAGUUUAGUAGCAAAGUAGUAUGAUAGUAGUGGUAACGGUAGCAAAAGGUAAAAGUAGAAAAAGUAGUGUUUUGGUAUUUUGUAGUGAUGAUAGCAAUAGCAACGGAAAAGUAAAUAAGCGAAGAACAAUAUAUGGAAAGCUCGUAGGCAAUGGAUCGAUGAUGGAGAAUUAUGCCGGAUGCGGUCCAUCAUGUAACAGUCAUAACCUAGGGUGACACAGAACUAGCUCUAGUUCAUUGAUAUAAUGUAGGCAUGUAUUCCGAAUAUAGUCAUACAUGCUUAUGGAAAAGAACUUGCAUGA